rnacentral:lncRNA from 1 species
AUAAAAAGAAAAUUUCUUCAAACAUUUUUUUUAGAGGAGGAUUAAUAUUCAACAGCAUAGUGAAUUGCUCAAAGGCAAAAAAAAUUUUUUAAGUUCAUUAGACCACAUUCAUUCUGUGUCAGAAACCUAUGCUGUGUCAACUAUUUAAUUUUAGAUUUAAAUAAGUUUGAAGAAGAAAUCUUUAAUUGAUUUGUAAAAUCUUGACAUUUGUUUGUGUAAAAAAAACCAUGUAAUGUCAAAAAUUUGAUCACAAUCCAAAUUCAGAGCUGUAUCACGCUUGAAUGUUUUGUCCAUACUUGCCCCAACU